GAUGAACGCUGGCGGCGUGCCUAAUACAUGCAAGUCGAGCGAAUGGAAUAAGAGCUUGCUCUUAUGAAGUUAGCGGCGGACGGGUGAGUAACACGUGGGUAACCUGCCCAUAAGACUGGGAUAACUCCGGGAAACCGGGGCUAAUACCGGAUAACAUUUUGAACCGCAUGGUUCGAAAUUGAAAGGCGGCUUCGGCUGUCACUUAUGGAUGGACCCGCGUCGCAUUAGCUAGUUGGUGAGGUAACGGCUCACCAAGGCAACGAUGCGUAGCCGACCUGAGAGGGUGAUCGGCCACACUGGGACUGAGACACGGCCCAGACUCCUACGGGAGGCAGCAGUAGGGAAUCUUCCGCAAUGGACGAAAGUCUAACGGAGCAACGCCGCGUGAGUGAUGAAGGCUUUCGGGUCGUAAAACUCUGUUGUUAGGGAAGAACAAGUGCUAGUUGAAUAAGCUGGCACCCUGACGGUACCUAACCAGAAAGCCACGGCUAACUACGUGCCAGCCGCCGCAGUAA
rnacentral:rRNA from 1 species